rnacentral:SRP_RNA from 1 species
GCUGGGUAUGGUGGCACACGCCUGUGAUUCUAGCCACUCAAGAAGCUGAGGCAGGAGGAUUGCUUGGGCCCGGGAGUUCCAGGCUGCAGUGAGCUGAGAUUGUGCCACUGCACUCCGGCCUGGGCAACACAGCAAGACCCUGUCUCUU